rnacentral:lncRNA from 1 species
CCUGUGAAACCACGCUGACGUGCUCUGCUUUCUGGGAACCCGGCAAUUUCAGGCAAUUAUUCCCUGGACAUUUUACACAGCUCAGCCUUCAAGAACUGCUGCUGCCACCCUGACUCUUUGAUCUUUUUAACUCCAGUGCUGACACCCUGCAUUGAUGUAGACAUGGCAAGCUGUGCUAGACACAGAUGGCAAACCUGUGUGAUCCAGGGACGUACAGAAAGCUGUCUCCUGCUGUAGCAGCUUGCUUUGGCCUGUUUUUUGAAGAGGGUGUAUGAUCUGCUUCCCCUUUCCCAUGAGGACCUGAACCUGCUGUGAGACCCACACCUUGGCAGAUGCAAGCACAGAUGAAGAAGUGCACAGAAGUGCUGGAGUACAAUCCCUGUCUCAGCAAUUUUACAGACUCACAGUACUCUCAGAUGGGUGGUGAUGAGUAUGCUGGCAGAUGUGACCGUGGAGACCAAUGUUCUGGGCACCCUGGAGUCCCACAGGAGCAGAGGAAAAGGACCAAGCAUGAGAGAACAGGCUGUCUCUUGGGCUUUGGACUGUCUCAUGUCACAGGCUGCCCUAUGCCUGCAAUGAGCUGCGCACACCAGAAGAUGCUUAAAUAUCCACAUAUCUCAUACUGCAGGGAGUUUUCAGCUUGUGGGCGUUUUUAG